GCAUAUCAUAGCGGAGGAAAAGAACCAACAGGGAUUGCCCCAGUAACGGCGAAGUGAAGCGGCAAGAGCUCAAAUUUGAAAUCUGGCCUCCUCCGGGGGUCCGAGUUGUAAUUUGCAGAGGAUGCUUCGGGUGCGGCCCCCGUCUAAGUUUCCUUGGAAUAGGACGUCAGAGAGGGUGAGAAUCCCGUCUUGGGCGGGCGGCCCGCGCCCGUGUGAAGCUCCUUCGACGAGUCGAGUUGUUUGGGAAUGCAGCUCUAAGCGGGUGGUAAAUUUCAUCUAAAGCUAAAUAUUGGCCGGAGACCGAUAGCGCACAAGUAGAGUGAUCGAAAGGUUAAAAGCACCUUGAAAAGGGAGUUAAACAGCACGUGAAAUUGUUGAAAGGGAAGCGCUUGCGGCCAGACUCGGGGGCGGGGUUCAGCGGGCGCUCGUCGCCCGUGCACUCCCCGCGCCCCGGGCCAGCAUCAGUUUCGACGGUCGGUCAAAGGCCCCCGGAAUGUGUCGUCUCUAGGGACGUCUUAUAGCCGGGGGUGCAAUGCGGCCCGUCGGGACUGAGGAACGCGCUUCGGCUCGGAUGCUGGCGUAAUGGCCGUAAGCGGCCCGUCUUGAAACACGGACCAAGGAGUCUAACAUCCACGCGAGUGUUCGGGUGUCAAACCCGUGCGCGCAGUGAAAGCGAACGGAGGUGGGAGCCUUUGGGCGCACCAUCGACCGAUCCUGAAGUCUUCGGAUGGAUUUGAGUGGGAGCGUGGCCGUUGGGACCCGAAAGAUGGUGAACUAUGCCUGAAUAGGGGUGAAGCCAGAGGAAACUCUGGUGGAGGCUCGCAGCGGUUCUGACGUGCAAAUCGAUCGUCAAAUUUGGGCAUAGGGGCGAAAGACUAAUCGAACCAUCUAGUAGCUGGUUCCUGCG
rnacentral:rRNA from 1 species